AUUGAACGCUGGCGGCAGGCCUAACACAUGCAAGUCGAACGGUAACAGGAAGAAGCUUGCUUCUUUGCUGACGAGUGGCGGACGGUGAGUAAUGUCUGGGAAACUGCCUGAUGGAGGGGGAUAACUACUGGAAACGGUAGCUAAUACCGCAUAACGUCGCAAGACCAAAGAGGGGGACCUUCGGGCCUCUUGCCAUCGGAUGUGCCCAGAUGGGAUUAGCUAGUAGGUGGGGUAACGGCUCACCUAGGCGACGAUCCCUAGCUGGUCUGAGAGGAUGACCAGCCACACUGGAACUGAGACACGGUCCAGACUCCUACGGGAGGCAGCAGUGGGGAAUAUUGCACAAUGGGCGCAAGCCUGAUGCAGCCAUGCCGCGUGUAUGAAGAAGGCCUUCGGGUUGUAAAGUACUUUCAGCGGGGAGGAAGGGAGUAAAGUUAAUACCUUUGCUCAUUGACGUUACCCGCAGAAGAAGCACCGGCUAACUCCGUG
rnacentral:rRNA from 1 species